rnacentral:tRNA from 1 species
AGUUACGUCGUUUUAAAAAGGACUUUAAAUUGCAAGUUUAAGAGUGAGCGGUAGUUUCGUAACUU